GUCGAACGCUGGCGGCGUGCCUAAUACAUGCAAGUAGAACGCAGUUGCGAACGGGUGAGUAACGCGUCGGUAACUGCCUCAUAGCGGGGGAUAACUAUUGGAAACGAUAGCUAAUACCGCAUACUGUGAGAUGGACCUGCGUUGUAUUAGCUAGGUGGUGGGGUACAGGCUCACCACGGCGACGAUGCAUAGCCGACCUGAGAGGGUGAUCGGCCACACAGGGACUGAGACACGGCCCAGACUCCUACGGGAGGCAGCAGUAGGGAAGCUUCGGCAAUGGACGAAAGUCUGACCGAGCCAGGCCGCGUGAGUGAAGAAGGUUUUCGGAUCGUAAAACUCUGUUGUUAGAGAAGCGUUAUCUAACCAGAAAGCAACGGCUAACUACGUGCCAGCAGCCGCGGUAAUUC
rnacentral:rRNA from 1 species